AUACGUAGGGGGCGAGCGUUGUCCGGAAUGAUUGGGCGUAAAGGGCGCGUAGGCGGCCCGGUAAGUCUGGAGUGAAAGUCCUGUUUUUAAGAUGGGAAUUGCUUUGGAUACUGUCGGGCUUGAGUGCAGGAGAGGUAAGUGGAAUUCCCAGUGUAGCGGUGAAGUGCGUAGAGAUUGGGAGGAACACCAGUGGCGAAGGCGACUUACUGGACUGUAACUGACGCUGAGGCGCGAAAGUGUGGGGAGCAAACAGGAUUAGAUACCCUGGUAGUCCACGCUGUAAACGAUGAAUACUAGGUGUGGGGGGACUGACCCCCUCCGUGCCGCAGUUAACACAAUAAGUAUUCCACCUGGGGAGUACGAUCGCAAGAUUGAAACUCAAAGGAAUUGACGGGG
rnacentral:rRNA from 1 species